ensembl:lncRNA
AAAAUCGAACCAACGCCCAGCCAAUCACGUGGCGCUCCUCCGGUCAUGUGACGCAGACGGUUCACCUCACAAGACCGGGGUCAACCACGGCUAUCAGCAUGAACGACGGCGCUUCAGACCCACGCAGCGAGGACCCGAUGCCAGGUCCAGUGGACAGACUUCAGACGUCUCUGUGUGUUCGGUCCUGUCCGGUCCUGUCUCUGGUUGCCUGGUUACAGACGCUGCUGCACCCGCACGUUUAAAAAUGUCUACACCUGAAACUCCACCACGUCUAAAGAAGCAAAAACGUUUGCAAAUGUACAGACUGGAGUGGGAAGAGUGGAACCCCUGGCAAUGGAUACAAGGCAAACUGUGUUUUCUGUUGCUCAUGGACUGGCUGAAGUAAGGCAGCAUCAGGAGACAAACCUGGAGGAAAUAUAAGAACAGAGAGAACCCAACCAGCAGGUCACAGUUUAUCAUCAUCUAAUCAUCUCCUGAAGUCCAUAUGAACAAAGAACUGCAGACUCUUCACAACCUGCUCAAACUCUUGGUACAGGACCUCACCACACGGGUCAAGAAGGUUUCCAUCUCAUUUCUACUCUGAAGCUCACCUUCUCCUGCUCAAACUGCUGACAAAUGUUUCUGCUGCUCUAAAGUCUGGUCUCCAGAACUUCCUAAAAACUCUCAAAGUCUCUUCUGCUGCAGGUUGCUUUGUAGAACUGUUCCAGAAAACCUCACUAAACCACAUGGAGGGGCCUCAAGUUAGUCAUCCAAAUGAAACUGUACAAAAACCAAACUAGCACAACCCAAAUGCUAAAGUCUCCUGCAGCCUACCAGAGAACCUCUGAGAACAGAGAAUCAGGACAGGAACUCUUACCUUCUGGACAACCAACGUUGGUUCACAAACAAGAAUACAGAAUGUGUCUGACCAGAAACCUCUGAAGACUCACUACAGCCAAGAUAAAGACACAACUCAGCUGGAGCAAAUCCACUAAUCACUGCACACAUUAGCACCAUGUGCCAACUGUGGCUAAAGAACCACAUUUACCAAGACAACUAUCCAGUACAAAGCCCUAAAACACACCAAGAAACACAUUAAAGACGAUUUUACUGCUGGAAGCUGCAAGUCAACGCCGAAAAAACAAAAGCAACGGAACCAAACCCAGUUCACUGGUGAAGAGAAGCAGAGGAAAUGUUUGUCUGCAGCUAAAUAAAGCAGGAAGACACUGAGCUGCUCAGGUGUUCCUGAUAACACCAAGCUGCUCAGGUGUUCCUGAUAACACCAAGCAGCCACCUGGACAGCCAAUAGGAACACAGCUUACUGGAAGUCCAGAGGGCUGGCUUAGUGAAGGAAAUUUAGUUUAAAGUUGAGGCAGAAAGUUAACAAAGAAAGUUGAAAACCACCUUCUGAUACCUGAAAUCUCUGAGUUUUCACACAAAGAACACCUGAACAUGUCAAACUGGUUCCAUAGUAGAACCAUCAUUGUAAAAACGUCAUAGUAUGGUGUGUUGCUCAAAAAACAUUAGGACCCGGCUGUCAGGGGACAAACAUGUAAGAAACAUGAGAACAGAGAGAAC